GUUUCUAAACAGGAGCUGAAUACCAAAGGAAAGGUUUCCGAUCCAUCUUAGAAUACGAAGUUAUGAGAAUAUAAUUCCUCACAAAAAGCGGCAGUUAAACUUCAAGAUUGACUCGAGAGUCAAAAUUAAAUACCAUAAUAGGAGAAAUCCCCUGCAUUAAGUUAUUCUUGUAAUCUGAGAUUAACAUAAAAAUUGAUAUCACAAUGCAGAAAGAAGUCCAAUAUGCCAGCCAAUUAUCAUGAGCAGAGAGGAACGUAUUUAAGGCAAUACAUCCACUUGAAGAACUGGUAGCUCAAUUUCCU
rnacentral:lncRNA from 1 species